rnacentral:rRNA from 1 species
AUACGGAGGAUCCGAGCGUUAUCCGGAUUUAUUGGGUUUAAAGGGUGCGCAGGCGGCCAUUUAAGUCAGCGGUUAAAUCGUGGGGCUCAACCCCAUUCUGCCGUUGAUACUGGGUGGCUUGAUUGCGGUCGAGGUUGGCGGAGUUCGUUGUGUAGCGGUGAAAUGCAUAGAUAUGACGAAGAACACCGAUUGCGUAGGCAGCUGACCAGACCGCAAAUGACGCUCAUGCACGAAAGUGCGGGGAUCGAACAGGAUUAGAUACCCUGGUAGUCCGCACAGUAAACGAUGAAUACUUGUUUUCGGCGAUAUAAUGUCGGAGGCAAAGCGAAAGCGAUAAGUAUUCCACCUGGGGAGUACGCCGGCAACGGUGAAACUUAAAGGAAUUGACGGGG